rnacentral:rRNA from 1 species
AUGGCGGCCCUGCAGCUUGCCGCUCUCCUGACGCUUCUGCUCGCGCUGUGGCGUCUCGUGUGGCGGCCGCGCGCCGUGGCGCGGUCGUUCGCGAGGCAGGGGAUCCGAGGGCCGCCCUACACGUUCCUGGCCGGGUCCUUGCCGGAGGCGAAGCGGCUACUGAUCGCUGGCCGGAGAGGUGUGCCGCCCCUCGACGCCGAGUGCCAUGACAUCAUGCCCAUCCUGCUGCCGCAGUUCCAUAGAUGGGUCGCUGAUUAUGGCAGAACGUUCCUGUUCUGGAUCGGGCCGAUCCCGGCCAUCUUCUCUGUGGACCUGCAGCUGAUAAAGCAAGUGCUCACAGACCGGACGGGCCUGUAUCAGAAGGACUUCAUGAUCCCCGUGCUGAAAUCCCUCUUCGGCAACGGCGUCAUAUUGAUAAACGGUGACGACUGGAAGCGGCACCGGAAAGUAGUCCUUCCUGCUUUCAACUAUGAGAAGAUCAAGAGCAUGUCGGCGGUGACGGCAGAGGUCACAAGGCGGAUGAUGCAACAAUGGCGCGAGCAGAUACACCAAAGCAACGGCGUCAAGAAAGCAGCUGAGAUUGACAUGAUCCACGCCUUCAACGACUUGACCGCAAAGAUAAACGGACGCGUCGCCUUCGGCACAAGCCACCAGGAUGUCGAGGAGGUCAUCGUCUUGAUGCGGGAGAUGCAAAAGAUCGCCACUGCCUCCACGCUGGAUGCUCCAAUACUCUGGUAUCUGCCGACUCGGCGUAACUUGCACGUUCGACGUCUGAACAAACAGCUAAGAAGCAAGAUCAUGUCGAUCAUGCAGGCACGGCUGGCCGCAGAUGGAGCCAAAUAUGGUCGAGGAGACACCGGCGGCUGUGGGGACGACCUGCUCGGGCUGCUGUUAGAGGCGUGGACGCCGAACCGGCAAGGGAGCGGCGGCGAUACACUGACAACCGACGAGGUGAUUGAUGAGUGCAAGACCUUCUUCGCCGCAGGGCAGGAAACCACGGCCACCCUCCUCGUCUGGGCCAUGUUCCUGCUUGCGGUGCACCCCCAGUGGCAGGACAAGGUCAGGGAAGAGGUCCUCAGGGAGUUCCCAGGCGGGGACGGCGAUGAUGUGAUACCCAACGCCGAUAUUCUCGCCAAACUGAAGCUGCUACACAUGGUAUUGCUCGAGACAUCGCGUCUCUACCCUCCGGUCGUGUACAUACAACGGAGGGCCGGCGCGGACGCCGUCCUCGGAGGCAUCACGGUACCCCAGGGAACAAUCAUAUCAAUCCCCAUCGGCAUGCUACAUCGAGACAAGGAAGUUUGGGGCCCUGACGCCAACGAGUUCAACCCCAUGAGGUUCGAGCAGGGCGUUACAAAGGCUGCCAAAGACUCCAAGGCGCUCUUGACUUUCUCUCUAGGCCCGAGAGUUUGCACUGGUCAGAACUUUGGCAUCGUGCAAGUGCAGGUUGUCAUGGCAAUGAUCCUCAGCAAGUUCUCCUUCUCCCUCUCCCCGGAGUAUGUUCACAAGCCAAAGUAUCUUCUGUCUUUGACACCAAGGCUUGGGAUGCCUCUCAUUUUGAGGAAUCUACAAUAG